UACGUAGGGUGCGAGCGUUGUCCGGAUUUAUUGGGCGUAAAAGAGCUUGUAGGCGGCUCGUCACGUCGGGUGUGAAAACUCGCGGCUCAACCGCGAGCCUGCACCCGAUACGGGCGGGCUGGAGUUCGGCAGGGGAGACUGGAAUUCCUGGUGUAGCGGUGGAAUGCGCAGAUAUCAGGAGGAACACCGGUGGCGAAGGCGGGUCUCUAGGCCGAUACUGACGCUGAGAAGCGAAAGCGUGGGGAGCGAACAGGA
rnacentral:rRNA from 1 species